UUUCAUGGCCUUCUUCUUUGUUUGAGAAUUAGAUGCAAAUAAGUUUUGACUCGCAAAUUCUAACUUAGCAGCUGAAUGCUUCAAGCAGGGGCUCUUAUGUUCCUUUGCCUUUCUCUAUGUCGACUCUUUCAGGAAAGUAAUUUCAUUCUUCAAAAAUGCAAAAUAUUCUCAUUUCGAAGGCACCAGUAUUGUAAUUGCUUUUUACUAUGAUUAUUGUACACAGCUUUUGUUGGAAUUGUGUUAAAAUAGCAAUCUACUUGCAUAAACACACUUCAAUAAACGUGUCUUGCAUUUAUAUGCUAUCUUAUAGCUUUGCUUCGACAGUUUUACAUUUUUUUAUAAUUACUGCAAAGACACUAUUGCAUUAAGCUAUUUCUUUGUCAGCUAGGUUUCUUUUUUAAAAGGUUUUAUUUAUUUAUUCAUGAGAGAUACACAGAGAGACACAAAGAGAGAGACACAGGCAGAGGGAGAAGCAGGCUCCGUGCAGGGAGCCCGAGGUAGGACUUCAUCCCUGGUCCCCAGGGUCACGCCCUGGGCUGAAGGUGGCGCUAACCGCUGAGCCACCCAGGCUGCCCAUCAGUUAGGUUUUUAACAAACAUGUCCUGUCAGAAUCCUCAACUAUACGCUUUAAUCCUACCGUUUACAAUCGGAAUGAAAAUUAAAUAGGUGCUUUCAAAACAAACCUUUCGGCUUCAAAGAUCAGCUAAUGUUAACCCAGUCUCAUGGUUCGCAGAUGCGGGAAACCCUCCUGAGCAGGGACUGUGGAUAGCUCCAACACCGUCCACCUGAGACUUGCCAUGGUAUUUGGGAAGAAGCUCCCAGAGAAAGUGGUGAGCAGUGACAUUCAUUCCAAAUUGUUCUUUUCUCCAAAUGGAAGCUACGUCGGGUCUUCGGAGGAUGGGUAUAAACUUAGGAGGUUGACGGACAGGCAGCCAUCCAGUGGAAGUCAGAUGCUAAUGCCUAAUGUGUGAGAUUUAAGAGAAGGGGCAAAAUCAACCUUGGUGAACCCCACUGUUCUGAUCUGCAAGAAUGAUGGUAGAAAUGGAAUAUGUUUGGGAAACAAAGAAACAUAAAUAAGGAUGCAGAGCUGUUUCCACCAGCCUGGGGACAGUGGCUCCCACCAGCUGUACACUUUGGUAAAUGACCCCUCCUGUCCCAACGAUCCUGCUGUAAGUACAAGAGCAGCACGUGAGACAUCUUUCCACAUGGAUGGGUAGUUUUAUCAAGUGGAAUUGAAUCCCUCCAAAUCAAGAGGAUUAUUUUGGAUAAGCCAUUAAAAUUAUUAAUUAAAAUGUUAGUGUCGGAUUGCCUUUAUUCUUGUUUAUAAGAAUUCUCUCAGAGCCUGGGUGUGUUGUACCUCCCUGGUUCCCCUGUUGAAUCCAUGCUAAAUCCAGAGCCUUGAUAUCACCCUCUGUUUCUGCCUGUGACUGAGGAGCCCUCUAAAAAUGGGCAUGAGGUUGAAAGAGAAGAGGUAUUUUAAGACAUGCUCCAAAUUAAGAGAAGGCCAAAUAUUUUGGACUAAAUAUUUUUGGAGCCUCUGGUAUGCAAGGGAAUUUGGAUAAGGCAUGGUCACCGUCC
rnacentral:lncRNA from 1 species